rnacentral:sRNA from 1 species
GCGGAGGAAAAGAAACCAACAGGGCAUUGCCUUAGUAACGCGCGAGUGAAGCGGCAACAGCUCAAAUUUGAAAGCUGGCUCCUUUGGAGUCCGCGUUGUAAUUUGUAGAGGAUGAUUCGGCAAGGGCUCCCGCCUAAGUCUCCUGGAACGGAGCGUCUUAUAGGGUGAGAAUCCCGUAUGCGGUGGGCUGCCUAAGCCAUGUGAAUCUCCUUCGACGAGUCGAGUUGUUUGGGAAUGCAGCUCUAAAUGGGAGGUAAAUUUCUUCUAAAGCUAAAUACCGGCCAGAGACCGAUAGCGCACAAGUAGAGUGAUCGAAAGAUGAAAAGCACUUUGGAAAGAGAGUUAAAAAGUACGUGAAAUUGUUGAAAGGGAAGCGCUUGCAGCCAGACUUGUCCGCAGUUGCUCAGCCGGUCUCCUGACCGGUGUACUCUUCUGCGGCCAGGCCAGCAUCAGUUCGGGCGGUCGGAUAAAGACCUCGGGAAUGUAGCUCCUCUCGGGGAGUGUUAUAGCCCGGGGUGGAAUGCGGCCAGCCUGGACUGAGGAUCUCGCUUCGGCUAGGAUGCUGGCGUAAUGGCUGUAAGCGGCCCGUCUUGAAACACGGACCAAGGAGUCUAACAUCUAUGCGAGUGUUUGGGUGUCAAACCCAUGCGCGUAAUGAAAGUGAACGGAGGUGGGAACCCUCACGGGUGCACCAUCGACCGAUCCUGAUGUCUUCGGAUGGAUUUGAGUAAGAGCAUAGCUGUUGGGACCCGAAAGAUGGUGAACUAUGCCUGAAUAGGGUGAAGCCAGAGGAAACUCUGGUGGAGGCUCGCAGCGGUUCUGACGUGCAAAUCGAUCGUCAAAUUUGGGUAUAGGGGCGAAAGACUAAUCGAACCAU